rnacentral:rRNA from 1 species
UGCAGUCGAGGGGUAUAAGUCUUCGGAUUUAGAGACCGGCGCACGGGUGCGUAACGCGUAUGCAAUCUACCUUUUACAGGGGGAUAGCCCAGAGAAAUUUGGAUUAAUACCCCAUGGUAUAAUUGAAUGGCAUCAUUUAAUUAUUAAAGUCACAACGGUAAAAGAUGAGCAUGCGUCCCAUUAGCUAGUUGGUAAGGUAACGGCUUACCAAGGCAACGAUGGGUAGGGGUCCUGAGAGGGAGAUCCCCCACACUGGUACUGAGACACGGACCAGACUCCUACGGGAGGCAGCAGUGAGGAAUAUUGGUCAAUGGGCGCAAGCCUGAACCAGCCAUGCCGCGUGCAGGAUGACGGUCCUAUGGAUUGUAAACUGCUUUUGCACAGGAAGAAACACUGAUUCGUGAAUCAGCUUGACGGUACUGUGAGAAUAAGGAUCGGCUAACUCCGUGCCAGCAGCCGCGGUAAUACGGAGGAUCCAAGCGUUAUCCGGAAUCAUUGGGUUUAAAGGGUCCGUAGGCGGUUUGGUAAGUCAGUGGUGAAAGCCCAUCGCUCAACGGUGGAACGGCCAUUGAUACUGCUAAACUUGAAUUAUUAGGAAGUAACUAGAAUAUGUAGUGUAGCGGUGAAAUGCUUAAAGAUUACAUGGAAUACCAAUUGCGAAGGCAGGUUACUACUAAUGGAUUGACGCUGAUGGACGAAAGCGUGGGUAGCGAACAGGAUUAGAUACCCUGGUAGUCCACGCCGUAAACGAUGGAUACUAGCUG